AAGGCUGGCGGGACGUUGUGCUAAGCCCCUGCUGAGCGCAGGGUGGAAUUCCAGGCCACCCCAAGGCCAGAUCGCCGGCUCCGUUUCUCUGCCGGAACGUAGAGCCCUCUCGCCCUCCGCCUGCCUGGAUCGGGGAUCGAAGGCAACUGGGCAUAAGCAACUAGGAGAAAGGGCGAGAUAAGGCUUCCAUCCCCGCUGCUGCCCGCCAGAGGAGGAAGGAGCAUUUGCAGAUGAGUGACCUGGAGAUAAAGCGCCCCCCCGCAUUAUGCAGCUUGGCCUCCCUCCCCCAGCGGGGGCCAGAAGCACCUGAUGAUUCCCUGCUCCAAUGAGCAAAUGGUCUCAUGAUUCUCAGCGGUAUGAACAACCACAUACGCCGUGACAAGAGAAAUAAAAAAUAGAAGAUGGCGUGAUGGGGAGCAUCAGUGGAACACUCUUUGGGAAGGCUCAGUUAUCAACAACUCUCUGAAAGCCAUCAACAUUGGGAAGAGGUCGCCUGAUUUCUGGGAGGAGACCAUUCCACAACCCUUCUAGCUUCAUCUCCCUUCCCCUCCCGCAACUAAGUGUGGGACUGCCGGGAGUUUCUUCCCAGUGCUCAACCGGUUGGCCGAUACAGGUUGGAGGAGGCAGUCCUGCAAGGACUGAGGAUGGAGGGAUGAACUCCGUCAGCAUCCCAGCCUAUCUCAUAGGGUUGAAGUGUUGCCACGCAGCAGUGUGAGUCCACCCUGUACAAUUCCAGAGGAAACCCAGGAUGUAAAUGUUCCAGAUAAACAGGGUAACUGUCUGAAGAAAUGGCUCUCGACAGAUGAUCCAACCAAGGGUUAAUUUUUCUCCAAGGUUGCAGAACAGGAUCAAGCCCAGAUGCAGAUCCAGUUUCCCACAUCAUGCUAAGCCAUUAUUGUCUUCAAUCACCAAAUCACCAGAAUACCACAAUUUGAUGGAUUAACACAAUACAUUAAACCACAAAUAACAGCUUACAAACCACAAUAGCUAGCUGGCACAUUGCACUAAGCCAAUUACAAACAAACCCCAUUGUGGCUCAGUGUGAUGUGUGAACUCAGCCACACACUUAGCCCCCACACCCAGGAUUUCCUCCUUUGACUGGAAGAACUUUCCAGGGAUUGGGGCAGAAAGGAGUCUUCUGAGGGUCUAAAGCUUAAUUAUGGAAAAAAGAGACACCAGAACAAACUCCAGAACCUGCAAGGCAGACGCUCUCUAACUUAAGGCUCUUGACCUAAACUUCAGUGUGAGGAAGAGGAGGAGGAGGGGAAGGAGAAGGAGAAGGAGAAGGAGAAGGAGAAGGAGAAGGAGAAGGAGAAGGAGAAGAAGGAACAACAAACAACAAACAACAAACAACAAACAACAAACAACUUUCCUUUGGCACCCAAAUAAGGAAGAAGCCAAGAAAGACUUCUGGGGUUUGGUUCCUUCUUCAGUGAGAGAGCCAGACCUCCAAAGAGCUACACCCAGCACAGAGACUCAGAUGGAUUUCCAUGAGGGCAGGGAGCUCUCUCUCUCUCUCUCUUGCUCUCUCUUUCUUUUAUAUUUUAUUGGAAGAAUUAAAAAAAAAAAGGGCUUUCAAAGAUUUGGAUACACCGGGCAAAUGGACAUU